rnacentral:rRNA from 1 species
CGGCGUGAGCAACGUAGGUAAUCUGCCGUGAAGAACAUGGACUAAUACCGCAUAUACGACUAAGUAGAGUAAGGAAAGUUUUUUCGCUUCACGAUGAGCCUGCGGCCUAUUAGCCUGUUGGUAGGGUAAUGGCCUACCAAAGCUACGAUAGGUAGCCGACCUGAGAGGGUGACCGGCCACAUUGGGACUGAGAUACGGCCCAGACUCCUACGGGAGGCAGCAGCUGAGAAUCUUCCACAAUGGACGAAAGUCUGAUGGAGCGACAUCGCGUGAGGGAUGAAGGCCUUCGGGUUGUAAAACCUCGGAAAUUAUCGAAAAAUGAGUGACAGUAGAUAUGUAAGCCUCGGCUAACUUACUUUUCUUCUGCCGCGGGAAAUCGUAGAGGGAAACGUUGCCUCGGAUUUUAAA